rnacentral:rRNA from 1 species
UACGAAGGGGGCUAGCGUUGCUCGGAAUUACUGGGCGUAAAGCGCACGUAGGCGGCUUGUUAAGUCGGGGGUGAAAUCCUGGAGCUCAACUCCAGAACUGCUUUCGAUACUGGCGAGCUCGAGCUCGGGAGAGGUGAGUGGAACUGCGAGUGUAGAGGUGAAAUUCGUAGAUAUUCGCAAGAACACCAGUGGCGAAGGCGGCUCACUGGCCCGAUACCGACGCUGAGGUGCGAAAGCGUGGGGAGCAAACAGG